rnacentral:tRNA from 1 species
GGGAAGAUGGCUCAGUGGUACAGUGCUUGCCUUGCAUGCAAGAGGCCCUGGGUUUGAUUCCACAGUACCA